rnacentral:piRNA from 1 species
CCCACAACCACACCUGUGAGUACCAGC